GAGUAUCUUCAUGGGCCCAGUAUUGGAAUUUGAGAUGAGUUGCGUUAGAGAUUAUCUAGGUCCUUGGGCAAUUAUUUUGGUCCCAAAGAAAAAGAGGUAUGGUAAGGCCAAUAAAGCAGGAGAUGACUGCGAUGAAAACAGAAAUUUAUUAUACUCACAGAUCCCAAGAGGAAAGGGCACACCCCAUCAUGAGGAUCGCACAAGGAAGCAUGGGUCUUCUAAGGUUUGAAGAGUACCACAGAGGAAAGAGGAGCUGUGGAUGUGGGUGUGGCUUCAGGAGAGGACCCAUGAAGGAG